AUAAUGAUACUUCUGUAAAGCUCGCCAUAAACUGGGGAGAGGUUAAACUCCUAUGA
rnacentral:ncRNA from 1 species